rnacentral:lncRNA from 1 species
UUUGCCUUCCUGGUGGGUGAUUCAGAGUCACACACGGUAGGUAAGGUGUAGAGGUGGAGGGUUGGGGGUAAAGGAGGAGUGACAGCUUGUGAGGGGAAUGAUCUUGGUUGGGCCAGCUAUUGGUCAUACUAGCCUUGGAAAUUCCACCCUUUUUACUCACCCACUUGUUAUUUCUUCAUCUACUCACCAAAUAUUUGUUGAGAACCUUGGUUUUAGGCACUAGAAAUAAAAUUCUGAGCAUAAGUGGCAAAGUCGCUAUUCUUGUGAAGUUUAAAAUCUCAUGGGGGAAGACAGACAAGCAUCAAAUAACCUCCAAGUACAGACCAACAGCGACAUCAGCUACCUGCUGUGAAGGGGAAGGCCAGGUGCUAUGUGGGUGGCACACGGCCUGUUUUGAGCCUUCAAAAAGAAGUGCUCGGAUGUUGCCCAGGGCACAGCAUCUUUUGGAGUUGCCCGGCUGUGUGUGGAUGAAGGAAGGCCUCUGAGGACCUUAGUGGAGGCCCCCAUGGCCCCCGGUGAUUUUCAGAUGACAAGUCUUUCAUGUGUUAGGGCACAUCCCCAAAUCUGCAGAGCAUUGAGCCCUUCUGCUCAUUCGGCUGCUGGGAAGGCCAGCCUGAACCCUGCAUGGUUGAUUUUUUUUUUUUGAACACUGGGCAGCUGAUUUAUACUUUCACCCUUUGGCUGUUUCUGUGAAGGAGGAGUUUUAAACAUAUCCCCAGAAUGGCCUCGUGGGCACACCAUGGUUUCCUCCAAGAACACUCAGAGGGGUAGGAAAGGCAGAGGUGGGAAACGUACGCAGGCCGUGAACAGAAAAGGCAGAAUAUUCAUUCCCAAGUUCGGUCUAAAGCCCAUGGUUGACAACUUUCAAGAGAUCUCACACUGUAUGUUGUGCUGUUUUUGAAAUGGGACUGAGAAGACUGAAAAGCAAUCCUACAAAAUGUUACCCGUGUUUAUCUCAAGGGUGGGAUCAUCAGGUAGUUUCAGUUUCGUUGUUCUUCUUAAUUUCUUGCAAAUACUCUAUUUUCGUGUACUACUGUGGCAAAUAGAAGAUAAACAGCAAACGUGAUCUUUUCCAAGUGGCGUCUGUUUGGGAGCAGACAUACCCUGAGGAGAUGUUUCCCUGCCGGUAGCUUCUUUGAGGCGAGUUACUGUGAAUCUCAACCGCGAAGCCCAGCUCAGGGUGUGGCGACAGCAGCCUCCCUCGGUGAGAGCAGCGGGCGGCAGGGAUGGAGAAGGCGCCUGUGUCAAGAGAUCCGAGGGGCUUCAGGGAACAUUCGAGGGAGAAGGUCGUGAGGCUCAGCCCUGCACACUCUGAAGCCUCCACGUGUGUCAGGUGGGGGCGUGGGGUGGGGCAGGCCUUCCAAAAUGACACUUUUGUUUUCAAUUAAACAUUAUCUGCACUGUCCAUGGGGCAGAGCUGUGAUGUCCAGUGUGUGGAUGGGGCUUGACUGUGAGGGCCUCAGACACCAAGCCCGCAGAUUCCUGAAAAAGCUCCGGUUCAAAAUUACCAAAGCCUUCCGGGUCAGGCUGUGGAAGUCAGUCAGGCUCCGGAAGCCAAGUUCCGGAAGUCAGUAAGGCCUCGGAAGUCAAGUCCUGGAAGUUGGGCUUGCAAUCAUUAGGUGGAGAUAUUGUUUGUUCUGUGCUCAGAAUUCCCUGGAGUGAGACUCAGGACAAUAUUAAAUCCAAUGAAUCACGCAGCUUUCAGGAGGGCAGGGCAGCACGCUGCAGAGCAGCACUGAAUGAUGGCUUGGCCUGGCGUCCCUGGUGGCAGCAGUGGCCGCACCAGGCACCGUGUUCUCAUUCAACAAAGACUCAGAAUCUUCCUGGUUUGUGGAAAGAGUGCUAUUCUGACAUUGGAUGCUGCUGAGAAUCGGGCAACAGUCUUAGUGAGGUGACCAUCAUCUGAGGAGUUUUGAUGUGAGGACUGUGAACAUCUCCAGAACAGGAGACAUUUGGAAGAGCUUGUGCCCACUGGUAUCUGAAACUUGGCUGCUCAUUCUUCAGAAACCCCUUGUAUCCUGCUAUGAUUCCUCAGCAACACCAUCACAUGGAAAAGAACCAACAAUGUGAAGAAACGAAUAUGGUG